rnacentral:tRNA from 1 species
UAAUUCUGACGGAAAACAAAAAAUUGUAUUUAAUUUCGGCUUAAACUUGUGGUAAUAAUUACCUCCGUUAA